CGUAGGCAGCGAGCGUUGUUCGGAGUUACUGGGCGUAAAGGGUGUGUAGGCGGCCUAUUAAGUUUGGUGUGAAAUCUCCCGGCUCAACCGGGAGGGUGCGCCGAAAACUGGGAGGCUAGAGUGCGGGAUGGGAGAGUGGAAUUCCUGGUGUAGCGGUGAAAUGCGUAGAUAUCAGGAGGAACACCGGUGGUGCAGACGGCUCUCUGGACCGUAACUGACGCUGAGACACGAAAGCGUGGGUAGCAAACAGGAUUAGAUACCCUGGUAGUCCACGCCCUAAACGAUGCAUAUUUGGUGUGGGUCAUUCAGUUGAUCCGUGCCGGAGCUAACGCGUUAAAUAUGCCGCCUGGGGAGUACAGUCGCAAGGCUG
rnacentral:rRNA from 1 species